CAGCUAUAACGGUAAUGAUAUACAUGCAAGUCGAGCGGACAGAUGGGAGCUUGCUCCCUGAUGUUAGCGGCGGACGGGUGAGUAACACGUGGGUAACCUGCCUGUAAGACUGGGAUAACUCCGGGAAACCGGGGCUAAUACCGGAUGCUUGUUUGAACCGCAUGGUUCAAACAUAAAAGGUGGCUUCGGCUACCACUUACAGAUGGACCCGCGGCGCAUUAGCUAGUUGGUGAGGUAAUGGCUCACCAAGGCGACGAUGCGUAGCCGACCUGAGAGGGUGAUCGGCCACACUGGGACUGAGACACGGCCCAGACUCCUACGGGAGGCAGCAGUAGGGAAUCUUCCGCAAUGGACGAAAGUCUGACGGAGCAACGCCGCGUGAGUGAUGAAGGUUUUCGGAUCGUAAAGCUCUGUUGUUAGGGAAGAACAAGUACCGUUCGAAUAGGGCGGUACCUUGACGGUACCUAACCAGAAAGCCACGGCUAACUACGUGCCAGCAGCCC
rnacentral:rRNA from 1 species